UGCGUACCUUUUGUAUAAUGGGUCAGCGACUUAUAUUCUGUAGCAAGGUUAACCGAAUAGGGGAGCCGGAGGGAAACCGAGUCUUAACCGGGCGUUAAGUUGCAGGGUAUAGACCCGAAACCCGGUGAUCUAGCCAUGGGCAGGUUGAAGGUUGGGUAACACUAACUGGAGGACCGAACCGACUAAUGUUGAAAAAUUAGCGGAUGACCUGUGGCUGGGGGUGAAAGGCCAAUCAAACCGGGAGAUAGCUGGUUCUCCCCGAAAGCUAUUUAGGUAGCGCCUCGUGAAUUCAUCUCCGGGGGUAGAGCACUGUUUCGGCUAGGGGGCCAUCCCGGCUUACCAACCCGAUGCAAACUGCGAAUACCGGAGAAUGUUAUCACGGGAGACACACGGCGGGUGCUAACGUCCGUCGUGAAGAGGGAAACAACCCAGACCGCCAGCUAAGGUCCCAAAGUCAUGGUUAAGUGGGAAACGAUGUGGGAAGGCCCAGACAGCCAGGAUGUUGGCUUAGAAGCAGCCAUCAUUUAAAGAAAGCGUAAUAGCUCACUGGUCGAGUCGGCCUGCGCGGAAGAUGUAACGGGGCUAAACCAUGCACCGAAGCUGCGGCAGCGACACUGUGUGUUGUUGGGUAGGGGAGCGUUCUGUAAGCCUGUGAAGGUGUGUCGUGAGGCAUGCUGGAGGUAUCAGAAGUGCGAAUGCUGACAUAAGUAACGAUAAAGCGGGUGAAAAGCCCGCUCGCCGGAAGACCAAGGGUUCCUGUCCAACGUUAAUCGGGGCAGGGUGAGUCGACCCCUAAGGCGAGGCCGAAAGGCGUAGUCGAUGGGAAACGGGUUAAUAUUCCCGUACUUGGUGUUACUGCGAAGGGGGGACGGAGAAGGCUAUGUUGGCCGGGCGACGGUUGUCCCGGUUUAAGCGUGUAGGUGUGUGUUCCAGGUAAAUCCGGUUCACUUUAACACUGAGGCGUGAUGACGAGGCACUACGGUGCUGAAGCAACAAAUGCCCUGCUUCCAGGAAAAGCCUCUAAGCAUCAGGUAACAUCAAAUCGUACCCCAAACCGACACAGGUGGUCAGGUAGAGAAUACCAAGGCGCUUGAGAGAACUCGGGUGAAGGAACUAGGCAAAAUGGUGCCGUAACUUCGGGAGAAGGCACGCUGACACGUAGGUGAAGUGAUUUACUCAUGGAGCUGAAGUCAGUCGAAGAUACCAGCUGGCUGCAACUGUUUAUUAAAAACACAGCACUGUGCAAACACGAAAGUGGACGUAUACGGUGUGACGCCUGCCCGGUGCCGGAAGGUUAAUUGAUGGGGUCAGCGCAAGCGAAGCUCCUGAUCGAAGCCCCGGUAAACGGCGGCCGUAACUAUAACGGUCCUAAGGUAGCGAAAUUCCUUGUCGGGUAAGUUCCGACCUGCACGAAUGGCGUAAUGAUGGCCAGGCUGUCUCCACCCGAGACUCAGUGAAAUUGAACUCGCUGUGAAGAUGCAGUGUACCCGCGGCAAGACGGAAAGACCCCGUGAACCUUUACUAUAGCUUGACACUGAACAUUGAGCCUUGAUGUGUAG
rnacentral:rRNA from 1 species